rnacentral:rRNA from 1 species
UGGGGAAUAUUGGACAAUGGGGGCAACCCUGAUCCAGCCAUGCCGCGUGAGUGAUGAAGGCCUUCGGGUUGUAAAGCUCUUUUGGCGGGGACGAUGAUGACGGUACCCGCAGAAUAAGCCCCGGCUAACUUCGUGCCAGCAGCCGCGGUAAGACGAAGGGGGCUAGCGUUGUUCGGAAUUACUGGGCGUAAAGCGAGUGUAGGCGGUUGCCGUAGUCAGGUGUGAAAGCCUUGAGCUCAACUCAAGAAAUGCACUUGAUACUGGGUGACUAGAGGACCGGAGAGGAUAGUGGAAUUCCCAGUGUAGUGGUGAAAUACGUAGAGAUUGGGAAGAACACCAGUGGCGAAGGCGGCUAUCUGGACGGUUACUGACGCUAAGACUCGAAAGCGUGGGGAGCAAACAGGAUUAGAUACCCUGGUAGUCCACGCCGUAAACGAUGGGUGCUAGACGUUGGCGAGCUUGCUCGUCAGUGUCGCAGCUAACGCGUUAAGCACCCCGCCUGGGGAGUACGGCCGCAAGGUUGAAAACUUAAAGGAAUUGACGGGGGUCAUAGCUGUUU